GGGUCAGUGGUGCCAUCAAAGCUCACUGUAGCCUCAGCUUCCCAGGCUCAAGCUAUCCUCCCACCCUAGCCUCCCAAGUGGCUGGGGCUACAGCUGCAUGCCACCACGCCUGGCUAAUUUUUAAAAUAUGUUUUAUAGAGAUGAGGUUUCACCAUGUUGCUCAGGCUGGUCUCAAACUCCUGGGCUCAAGCAGGCUGCCCACCUUGGCCUCCCAAAGUGCUGGGAUUGCAGGCGUGAGCCAUCUUGCUCAGCUACAAGGAGACCUUUCUUCAGUUCCUUGAAUGUAGGUUCGUAUCCCAUCCUCCUCUCUGCGCACCCUUCCCACUAUCCUCCCCACACCCUGCUUCCUUUUCUUCAUUCAGCGUGUCCAUUUGCUUGUUUUUUCUCUCCCCAAGUGGAACAUGAGCUCUGAGAGGGCAGGGAAUGCACACUGGCUGGGUCUGCAGCAAACGCAUGACUGGGGACGUGUCACAGAUGCACACAGGGGCACAUGGCAACAGACGCAGCAAUGCACAUUGCCCCCACACCGCAGGCUCUGCAGAGGCGUUGUGUGAUACCUAGGCAGCAGAUGCGGCUCUCUGGUUUUGAUUCUGAGAUCCCCUUGCCCGCUGUCCAUCUUUGUCCUCUUCCACCCUCCCCAUCCUGGAUCCUCUUCUUGGAAUGAAUUUGGAUCCCCUGCAAUGUCUGCCACACCUCCCUCAGGGGGCGGUCUCCCACGGCUUCACCUGUGUCUCUGCUCCUCUGGCCCAUUCACGGAUGGGAAGAGAUGCCCUGAGCUCCCUCCCAUGGGGGAUUCCCAACUGACAUUGUUCCCUGUCGCCUCCCCAGGUUCCAGCUCCCCUUCUUCUUUUUUUUUUUAGAGACGAAGUUUCACUCUUGUUGCCCUGGCUGGAGUGCAAUGGCGUGAUCUCGGCUCAUUGCAAUUUUUGCCUCCCCGGUUCAAGCAGUUCUCCUGCCUUAGCCUCCCAUGUAGCUGGCACUACAGUCACACACCACCACCCCUGGGUAGUUUUUUGUAUUUUUACUAGUGACGGGGUUUCACCAUGUCGGCCAGGCUGGUCUUGAACUCCUGAACUCAGAUGAUCCACCUGCCUUGGCCUCCCAAAGUGCUGGGAUUACAGGCGUAAGCCACCAUGCCCAGCCCAGCCCCGUUCUUUUGAGGAAGCUGCUACGCCAUUGCUGUCACCUGCUGACCCUGCCUCCCAGCCCCUGAGCAGACCUGGCUUACCUCUCACCAGCAUCGCAUCCCCUGUGACCUCAUCUCCUUGUGGGCGGCAACCUUUGACCUCCCUCUUACAUUAUGACUACUUGUGUUUGUGUCUCUCUUCUCUAGGUCAUCAGUACCUGAAUAAAAGAGACUGGGUCUUUUUCCUCCUGCUCAACUCAAAACUGGGCUGCCUGCCCCAACAGCCACCUUGGGUGUCGCCCUAAAGUCCUUGAAUGCCUCCUCCACUGAGACUGCUGAAAAUGAUUGCCAUCUCUCCAAAAGGCUCCUAUUAAACGCUGGAAGCUAACUCUAGGGAGCAAGUCAGCCCCUUCCUGGUUGUGGGGCCAGGGAAGAGGGGCUCAGGGCAAAUGACACUGUGCCCUACUAUUUGGAUGUGCCCAUGAGCAUUUGCCCAGAAGGAGAGGAGUGGGAGGUGAAGGCUGACUGCCCACCCUUGCACCAGAGAUGAUGUUUCACCAUGUUGCCCAGGCUGGUCAAAUUCCUGGGAUCAAGCAAUCCACCCAUCUUGUCCUUCCAAAAUGCUGGGAUUACAGGUAUGAGUCACUGUGCCCAGCUCCAGUCUCAUUUUUUGGGGGGUGGAAUGUUGCCCAAGGGCAAACAGGGGACAGGCAGGGUUUGAAUCCCUUUCUCCUGACUCCAAAGCGCGUAAGUACCUCCGAGUCUUCUUGUCACCAAGAGGCCACCUGCAGCCUGGGACAUUCAGGGGAGAAAGGUCUCAUGCUUAGGAAGCAGCGACCAGGUGCAGGUGCAGGUGCAGGGUGGUUGGAGGGUGUGGGCCGGGUGGCCUCUGCUUUCUUGUUCCCGCUGCCUCUCUGUUUCCUGGUGACUUCAUUCCUUCACCAGCCUGGCACCGCCACAUGCCAGGAGACAUCCAGAUCCCCUCAUCAAUUUGCAGGGCCAGCCACUCGGGGUGGCACCUGGCUGGUCUCCAGCAGAGCGAUGAGUUCCAGGUUGAGGGUGUGUCCCUGGGGAUGAGGGGGUAAGGCCAGUGUAGGGAGUUCCAAAGGCUUGGAGGGAGGGCAAGUCUCUUUAGGAGGCCAGGCUCAGGGGGCUGGGGUACCCCAGGGGAGAAGGGGCUGCACAGGCGACCCACUUGGGGUCUGUGCUGGUUUUGUCUAGGCCGGCCCUGCCCUCAAAUCCCUUGCAAGCUGCCCUGCCUUAGGAUGGAGGGAAGCCUCCUUCGACUUUAUACCCAGUUAGCGCUUCGGGGGUCUUUGUGGAAUUCCCUCCUCCCCAGGUCCUCUGCCCACCAGCUCUGUGAGCACUGCGCUUGGAGACCAGGCACAGCCCUGGAGGUUUCACUCAGCCUCUAGGCACAGUGGGGCCCGAGGAAGGCUUAGCAUCUAAGCCAAGAUAACAGUCUUCCUUUUUCCUGCACCAUGAGAAAUCAGUGUGGUACCCAGGGCAGGCAGUGAGCACAUGCAGUAUCCGUAGGAAAUUUACAAACAAUAAUAAAACUGGCUAAAAGU